rnacentral:rRNA from 1 species
CCUACGGGAGGCAGCAGUGGGGAAUAUUGCACAAUGGGGGAAACCCUGAUGCAGCGACGCCGCGUGAGUGACGAUGUAUCUCGGUACGUAAAGCUCUAUCAGCAGGGAAGAAAAUGACGGUACCUGACUAAGAAGCCCCGGCUAACUACGUGCCAGAGGCCGCGGUAAUACGUAGGGGGCAAGCGUUAUCCGGAUUUACUGGGUGUAAAGGGAGCGUAGACGGCAGCACAGGCCUGGAGUGAAAUCCCGGGGCUUACCCCCGGAACUGCUUUGGAAACUGUGCGGCUGGAGUGCAGGAGGGGUAAGCGGAAUUGCUAGUGUAGCGGUGAAAUGCGUAGAUAUUAGGAGGAACACCGGUGGCGAAGGCGGCUUACUGGACUGUAACUGACGUUGAGGCUCGAAAGCGUGGGGAGCAAACAGGAUUAGAUACCCGAGUAGUC